rnacentral:lncRNA from 1 species
AUGGGAUCUAGAGCAGCCACGUGUCCUCCUGCGGGGCGCAGGUGCCCCUCGAAGGCGGGCGAGGAGCGGGCAGAGGUCGCUGAGCCUGCCUGGGGGCCGGCGGGAGGGAAGGCGCAACCGCGGCGGGAACCGCUGAUGGAGCGGCUCAGAGCAGAAGGCGCAGCUCUGCGAGUCUCGGGUGAGGGGGGAACCGAAGGUGGUGGUGGUGGCCGAGCAAGGCUCAGAAGCACAUUUCAGCUCUUUCAGUUCUCUUUCACUUUCGCACCUAUUCUUUUUGAUUAUCUGAAAACGGUUUUCACAACGGAACUGCACCUUACAGCGGGAGAUUUCACUUUUCACUGCGCUGAUCAGGAGCACACUUGGCUGGUGUUGCUGCUUAACCUCUCAUUGGAACUGCAGAGGCAGCACGAGAGAAAUCAGAAUUCAUGUCAGCUGACGUGAGAUUACGCGGAGGUUUUCAGUUUCCACCUAGACUGGAAAGAGCAGCGGUGGUCGUCAGCCGAGAAGGCAAACUGUCACAGCGAGGAUCUGCCACAAUCCRUUUGGCCCUUCUGAAAAAAAUAAGCAGAAGACUCAGCUGGGGCGUUGAGCAGUACCUAACAAAUUUUGAAGCUAAUACUAAUACUGCUAAUCCCUAGACAUAAAGUGUGAUCGCUGCAGGUGUUCAGAUGGUCUUUUCUUUAUUUCCAAGACAAACUUUGUUCUAUAAGCAAAACUCUCUACUGCGACAAUCCCAGUAAAGCCUAAGAAGCUUGCUUCACACGCCAAAAGUGAGUGUUAUUGUAGAUUCACACCCAAAGCACAGUACGUGGGGGACCAGGUUUGCUCCUUUGCAGCUUGGCCCUGAGCAAUGAUUGUCUCGACCUUGUAUUCAACAAGUCUGUUUAUCCCUGCAAUUUAGGACCUGGCGGGUGAUGUUUGUUCAGCGAGUGAUGGCUCAGAUACAUCUACACCCUGAAAAUGGCCUGGGAGCCUUCCAGAGAGCCUGCAACGCACAUCCUGCCAAAGGAAAUCUUACACUUAGACACACUUUAUUUAAAGAAUGUGUUUUACUUCUGCAGACUUGCAGCACAGUUACAUCAGAGGCUUUUCCUUCGCAGAGAGUUGAAGGCAGCCAGGCUAGAACAAAUGCCCUGGUAUUUCACGGACACUGAUACAGCUACGUGUUUGGUGCCUGCCUUGCUCAGAAUUACCUGUGUCAGCUGUCCUUCGUUUAUCUAGCUAUGCCUCUUAAGUGAAUGCUGAUUGCCAGCUUUGGGGUUUCUCUGGAGACAGUUUGCUGUGAUUGUAGGACAUUAAAAAAUAUCUUAUUUUAUAGAAAGAUGAGGGACUCUGGCAAACACUGAAUAGCAUGAUCAAAUCAUUGACAAGAAUGACUUAGAGUUUGUUUCCUUUCCCCAAACUAUUUAUUCAGCACGUUUGAAGGCAAGCUGUGAAUAUUAUGUAAAGAAAU